CCUUUGUCCCAAUUAAUUGGAGGGUUGGCUAUAUGAAUCCUUUUACACAUUGAAAAGUCUAUCAAAGGCCAAAGCCAAAUGUUUACUGAGAUCAAAAGUCAAAAAAAACAUCUCUAAAAAUUUGAAGAAAGAAUAGAUUGGAAUUUCAUAGCAAUCAAACACCGAAAUUAUUAAAGAUCAAAAACAUUUACUGAUUUACGUAGAUCUAAGAAGAAUUUUUCAAUAUUAUCUUAGCCUAAAACCUAAAAGAACAUUACUUAAGUUAGUGGUAGCAAUCAAAACAAACCUAAAAAGAACAGACUUAUUGUAGCAAUCAAAUCAAUCAUCAAUAGGAAGUAAAAACAUUUUACUAAAAAAAAUUUUCAUAUUUUUCAAUGUUCAGAGAAUAUAAAAAUUAUGAAAAUCAUUUUCACGAAAACAAAUUUACACUGGAAUACUAAAAUUACUUUGAUCUAGGUCAGUGAGUUGAUUUUCUGAACAAAAUGCACAAUGUCGGAGUCAACAGUCGAAACCUACUAGCCACAAGAAAAACACAAAGGGAGAGAUGGCGCAAUGCCAUAAUGUUGACUGGACCUUCUGACCUUCGAUUCCUUUGUUUGCCAGAUGACCAUCUGACAAACACCAUGAAACUUUGCGAUUAGUGUUUUUUGACUCUGCACUACUUUUCAUAUCAAGAGUACAAAUUUGUAAUAUUUAGGUUUUGUAAGGGGAUAAAAUACACAACUACAAGCUCUAUGCCUUGCAUGGGACAAAAGAACAGCUGCGAAACUAUCGCUAGAACAAGCUGGAGGUCUGCCACCGGAGCUCAGUCGAAAAUUCACUAAACAUUGUGCACUGGACAGAGCAAGGCAAGGUAUCACUGCCGAGUUGUCAUCUAUUGUAAAGCUUGGUAGGGUAACUGCGCCAAAAACUUGGCCGAGGGGAACGGUCAACAGCGAUUUCCCGAGGCGUAAGGGGACAAAAAAGUUAACUUGCAUGGCGAAAUUCUUCUGACAAAAAUCCCAUGCCUGGAUCGAGGACUCGAGCAUGGAUGGCAAGCUAAAAACCAGGCCCUAGAAGUAUGGCUGGGUCAGUCGCUACUCACUGACAAGCAGUGAGUGCGUCCAGGAUACCGCGAGUUGCAGUCUGCUCUGUUUCUAAAAUCUACGCCUAGGCGCAUAGGCGAUGGCCCCCCGGGCAGCUAAGGACUCCUAGGCCUGCCUGCCUAGUCGCUGGGCCCUCCGCCCACGCCCUCCGCUUAACGCUAGCGCUUUUAGAGACAUAGGUUCUAAUUUCUAUGUAUUUUAGAGAUCUAAAUUGUAAUUUCUUAUCUUUCUCUUUGUAUAUUCAACAUUUUAAACAUUUGAACUUUACUAUUUUGAGAUCCAUUUUUUGGUUUAGAAUUGAUAUUUGCGUCAUUUGUUAUUAUUUUAAUAACGAUUUAAUGAUUUAAAUGAAAUAAAUAAAUAAUAUAAAAAAAAAAACGCCUAGGCGCGCGGCCCUAACCGGUCCGCACGAUUACCGCUAGCGAUUUUUAGAACCUUGCAGUCAUGUCCAAUGACAGUGAUAGUAGUUGGCGCGGUCAAGGCACGCGCCUGAGCUGAAACUAUUAUAAGGUGAGACCUAUUCUAUUGAAGGAGGUUAUGCGAACUCAGCUCAAAAAUUUACACUCUCUCUCUACCAUUAUACGAUUCUCGUUAUCUAACUUGACAUUCAGAGAAGCCGUUUCCGAAAACGGUUUCGGGCAAGCCCGAAACUCACUGUUCUGUGUCGACAAUGAUAGCCACCGCUACCAGUGACUGUCUGCAGCCAUCUUCAACCACCAUGGUCCACCGCAGGUGUUCUUUCUCGAUCUUCCUUUAUUUCCUUCUACAAACUACCACCCCACAGUUUUUGCCUUGAUUGAUGAGUUUGUUAGUGGUUGUGAGAUGAUAUUUCUGACUAUCUUUUGGUGUUGAAACAUUUAAUUGAUAAUUAUUUUUCACGCCGAAACGUAUUUGCUGAUACGAUUCAGUGAUUCAUGAUAGCAUGAAAACACAAAGUAAUCAAAGCUUUCCAAAAACAUGCCAAUCAUUUAAAAUUGUUGCUUUCCUGUAAAAAAAUAAUCAAGCUUUCAUACAUUGUAAUGCCAAAAAAAAACAUACUCAGCUUCCCAAAUCUUUUACUCCAUUAAUUGAUUUAUUUACCUUUCUUACAAUAUUCUCAACAUUUAAUACAAUCACUUGAAAGUAAAAUAAAAAUUGGAAAAAAAUAUUACAGAAAAACAAAAAUCAGAAAAUGUACAUUCAACCAAAUCAAGGUAUAAAACCUUGUCAAAAAAUAGAGGUAAAUCAAGCAAUAUUAUGUGCGGAACUAUGAAUACAAAUACACAAGUUGAAGGAAACUGACCUAAAAACACCUGCCUAAACUACUCCUAAGGAUCGUUUUAAAGUUUUUAUUGUCAGAAUAACACAAAAGAUUCAAACUGUAGUCUCCAUUUGGCUAGAUGUGGAUUUCAAAUGAAAGUGUGUUGUAACAAGUAUUAACAUUAUAUUCAAUGAAAAUAGCUUAAAUUAGAUUUUAUCUGAGAGAUUUAUCUAUCAUGGAUUUGAAAUGAAUUAUUUAAGGAAGUGAUUUGAAUUCUCCAUGGAUUUAGGUAUACAAGAAAUACAUUUCGUCCACAUUAGGAGGCGAUGAUUCUUGGAUUAACUUUAUAGUGUUUUUCUUCAAACCCUAGCAUAUUGAUUAAGUAAUACAUCCAUAUCUUCUACGUUUAAUCCACUUCUACUAUAGUUUCACAACCUCAUUUUAGCAAAACUCUGCUAUUUCUGCUGAUUGAUCCAUAUGGAGCCGGUACAUGCUAAAUGGAUGAAAAGACCACAUUAAUUUACGUAUAUAAACACAAAGACAUUCAAACUAACCUCAUCACCAUCAAAAUAUUCACAAAACGAAAACAAAAAAUCAACAACGAAACCCUAGAAAAUCGGAAAUCAAUCCCACUGAGUUCCCCAUUGGCCUUUGACGCAGGCAUCGGCGGAGAUCUUGCCGUCGCGUCCGGACAACAACAGCCUGAGGCCCGUCGAUAUCGCGCUCGUCGUAGGACGUAGAUCUUGAGGAGAGUGGUGACCGUACCCACGGUGUGGCCAGGAGAUGGAUCCGACGGUGCCAGUGAAGCGAAGCAGUCUUGGAGAUUCCAACGGCGGAGGAGGAGUGGCAAGAGGGAGUGAGGAUGUCGAAGAGUCUGGUGAGGAGGAAAUGGUGGCGGCGACCAGGCUAGGCGCCGAUAUGGUGGGUUCGGGUGCAAGGGUUGUGUGGGUGAAGACCAUAUUCUGCGGUUUGUGGUUAUUAAGAUUCCCAUUAUCAACGUGAAGAGUAUGCGAUACUGGACGAGAGAUCGAACCUCCACAAGGAAGACGAUGAGGAUGAGGAAGCGUCAGACGUCUCGUCGUUUUAUCUAACCCAAGAGCAGCCCAAAGGACGCUAAUGUUGUACAUUGGUGAGCCAAAGUGUUUUCUUGGGGUCGGCCUUUAAACGCAAACGCGGUUGGAGAGGAAGGACAGAAAUGUCCAAGGGUAGGCUGCAAAUUAUUGAUUGAAUGUUAAAAAAAAAAAAAUUAUAUAAUAGUUUUCAUAAUAAAUAUUUCAUAACAAAUAUAAUAAAGUAUUUAGGGUUGGAUCGAUCAAACCUAACCAACUCAGCUCGUUAAAUUUUUCUAAACUCAGUCGAUGUUUAACUCAGUUAAAAUCUUAAUAACCAUGUUUGAACACCGUCAAACCUCGGCCCUCGACCGUUUGGGAGGUUUAACCCAUGCUAGAUUUGCUAAUAAGGUAUGGACUUUUGUUUUGGGAUUAUUUUUUAUUCAUAAUCUUUUUAAUUCUUUAACCAACUUUAAUCUUUUUAGUUUUUCUUGAUAGAAUUCUUCAAGUAAAAGAAUAUAAAAAUCUUUUUGGAAAAAACUGAGGUAAUUAUCUGGUAUUUGGGACAUUUUAUAUUUAGUAGAUCUUUGUAAAAAAAAUAUUAUUUUAAAUUCUUGAAAAUUUAAUAGAAGUUACUACGAAAGUAACGAAACAAUAAACUACUCCCAAAAAAUAUGUUUUACAACAACCUUGUUAGAAUUGUUUGAUGAGAGAGGUGGACUGAACCAACAGGGAGUGCCAAAGCCAUCUUCCAUGGUCAAGUCCUCUCGAAUGUGGUUCGAAACACGUUGAAGAUUAAAAAUACAAACUCUCAUCGAACGCUAUUAUGCUAUAUAGACGUCUCUGAACAAAUAUUCAUUGAUCAUCUCAUGAAUAGGAGUUGUUUAUAUUCCAAUGAAUUGAUGAGCGGGACAUGACUAUAGGAUAAUUGUAUUUUGGAAAAAUAGACUUAGAUGGGUUUGAAACAAGCAAAAAUACUACCAAAAAACCAGACUGCCUUGUGCACAAGGGACUAUCAACUGUAGAUUGAACGGAGCUAUUGGUCUGAUCUAUGGUUUAUAUUUGGUUCUAAAAAAAAAAAACUGAGUGAUACGGUAUGGAGUUCUGUGUUUGGAACCGUGGACAGCAAACCGGUACGUGGAUAUGUAUUUAUAAUAUAUUAAUAGAUUUAGUAGGUACAUAAAAAUUAAAAUUUAAAUAGUUUCAAAUGGGCAUAGCUAGUUACUUUACUCUAAUUACUAGCUUCUGUUCUUAUUUUGCAAAGUUUGUAUAUUUGAAACAUGUUCAUGUUUUCUAUAAUAUAUUAGUACUUAGUUUGCAUUGAAACUUGGUAAAUUUGGAUGAUGUGUAAAAUUUAAAUUAAAAUCGUUAUUUAUAAUGUUGGACACAGACAGCACCAGAAAUUGGGCUGGUGUACUAAUGGUCCGAUUUUGAUUCGGUUUUUAAAGGUUAUCGUUCAAUUUUGAUUUUAAUUGUGUGGAAUCGGUACACGGUUCUCAAGGGAACGGAUCAAUUCUGGAGUAGGUGUACCCCUAAUUGAUUAGGACACUUAGAGGUUUUGUUGU
rnacentral:lncRNA from 1 species